GGGCGGCUGGCGGAAUUGGUAGACGCAGUUGACUCAAAAUCAUCCGCGAAAGCGUGUCGGUUCGAGUCCGACGCUGCCCA
rfam:Chamaesiphon minutus PCC 6605, complete genome.